UUCUGACAACUGAGGAAGACUUGAGAUCUACUUGUACUUUAAGCAUGUAGUUUGAAUUAAACAAUGUAGCUUUUGUUUUCGGGUUGCCACUUGAAGUUGGAAAGGUGUAAACCCUGGGUUUGUAUGUGGCUUGUACGAACGUAUUUGAAUUGUAUGUCUUGUUUCUUGGUUUGUAAUCAGGAAGGUAUUUUAAGAAUCGACGUUGGCUAUCUUAAGGCAUUGUUAUCUCUGAAAUUAAUGUGAUUCUAGAAACUGGCCUAUUUGGAGGGAAACGAUGUUGUAAUAGAUUAGGUUAUACUUCGGAAGGAUUUUUGCUAGCUUGCUUGCGUGAGUCCUGGCGAGAGCUAGGCAGACGGCCCGCCAACCCUCUGGUUCGCCUUAGGGGGAAGUGGGUCGCCACAGGUGGUAUCAGAGCCAUAUGCCGACAGUUGGGACUUUAAGUCCUUCGUCUGGAAAAGCCUCGAGCCUCUCGUUCGUGAAGAGUCACGAAGCGAAACUCUCCGUAGGGGAUGCCCGCGUGCGGGUGGCAAGCUGAUAGGUACCCCGUGAUGUGACCCUGAGAACUGUCACAGGUGGUAUCAGAGCCUAGGCUCUAGAUCUUUGUAGUGUAUCUUAGGCUUUAAGCAUAAGAUGCCGGACUGUGGAGUUUGAUUGUUUAGUAAGUAGAAUGUGAUCUUAAUACUUGAUGAUUGAUUGAGUAAUAUUGAAGUGUUUGUUUUUAAGGGGUUUAUACAAUAGGGUUUCUUAUAUUGUAAGAAACUGGAGAGAAUCGUGUGAGAUUUGAUUUGAAAAGUGAUAGUUGAGUUUUUGAACAUUGGUACUAGCUGAUAUCUAUAAGAUUGAAUUUGAUUGGGUAAAUUAUAAGAUUCGAGAUAUCCUCUAGGCUUGUAAUCUUCGUAAGUAUAUAUAUGAAAUUGAAUGAGAAUCUUAGAUCGAUUGCUUGAUUGAGACAUUUUGUGAAAUUUUCUUUGAGGAAUGGUGGUGAUUGAGUUGAUUUGCAUCUGGAGAUGGCCAGUCCUAGUGCGAAUUGACUUGGUUCCCACUUGACGCUUAAGUGAGCCAGUUGUACAUAUUCCCUGAAUUUGAAAAUGGUACUUGAGGCUUUAACUAGAAAUCCCAAGGUUGGUUAUUCUUGGAGAUGAAUGCACUUUAGUUAUUGGCUGGCUUGCUAAAGAUUUUUAAACUUUGGAUAAAUGACCUUUGAUUUCAACUUGUAUUAUGACUUGAUUAGCCCUAAUUUUGUAAUGGCAUGCAACUUAAUUGAGACUAGUUUAAAUUCUAUGUUAACUGUUAAUGUGCUAUUUGUGAAAAUGUUAUCUGUGGAUAUAGUUUAUUUGCUCAUUUUGAAAAUUGUUAAAAAUACGCGUGCAUAGAUAAUUUUUAGUUUAGUGAGCCAUUUGCACAUACUUGUAGAGACUAGUUGUGAGAAUGGAAGCUGGGAGACGACGACGUGGACGUCAACCCAGACGACCUCAAAAUCAAGGAGGAGAUAAAGAACCUACCGCCGACCGAAACGCUGAACCUAGGGUUGGGGUAGAAAACCAAAUUGGGUUAGUUUUGACUCGCAUGACAGACAUACUAGAGCGAUUGGUACCCCAACAAGGCCAGGGAAUUGGACAAGUGAACCAACUUGGAAACCAAGAAAUAGGGGAGGAUAGGGCUUUAGAGAGAUUUCAAAAGUUUUUCCCUCCUAAAUUUUCUGGGGUCCAAACCCCGAUAUAGCUGAAAAUUGGUUGAAAAAUAUAAGGAAUAUAUUUGAUGCACUAGAUUAUUCCGAGGAGAGAGAAGUAAAUUUCGCUGUGUUCCAACUUGAAGGACCGGCUCGAGCAUGGUGGAACGUUAUAAGAAAUAAGUGGGAAAGGGAACAAACUCCUAGAACUUGGAUGAACUUUGUCCUAGAAUUUAAUGGAAAAUUUCUUCCACCACUAGUCCAAGAAAAGAGAGAAGAUGAUUUCAUAAAGCUUCGUCAAGGAACUUUAAGUGUAGCUGAGUAUGAAACACGCUUUACGAAGUUAUCUACAUAUGCCCAGAAUUGGUGGCUACUGAAAGAAAGAGAAUAAGACGGUUUAUUCAAGGAUUAGAUUUGGAAAUCCAAGAUGCCCUUGCCGCAGCACAGGUUGAAACAUUUAGUGACGCUCUCGAAAAAGCACAAAGGGUAGAAAUCACAAAAUCUCAACUGAGAGCUUUUCAAGCAAGGAAAAGAGAUGCAUCUGACAGUACACUAGGAGAAAAUGAACCACCACCCAAAGUUAGAAAAGAAGUGGAUGGAGUAGGACUGUUACCUCCUGCACCACUCAUGAUAAAGGAACCAAAAGGAACUAUGUCGCAAGGGACUUCAGUAGGACAGAUACGAUUAAAGAAAAUCUCGCAAGCAAGUCAGGCCACAACACCUCGUCCAAUUUGUGGAUAUUGUGGAAGGACGAAUCACACUGAAGAAAACUGUUGGCUAAAGGGACGAAAGUGUAUGGGUUGUGGAAGUACCAGCCAUAAAGUUCAUGACUGUCCAAGGAGAUAUUCACGAGAAACUACUGCUCAACAGGGAAAUGGAGCUGUUCCUCGACAAGUCAAUGGAAGGAGGAACCGAUCACACGGUUCAGGGUUAUCCGAGAUUCCAGAAGGUAUGAAUUUCGAGGACGAAAUUCUCUUUAAGGAGGGUAGGUUGUAAGAACCCGAAAAUUUUGCUUACUUCAUUUAUUUUGCUGGCUCAAAUAAGUAUUUACUCACCGAUCUCUCCGAUUAUUAUUUUCUAACAUUUUUAGGUUUAAUUAAAUAUAUCCAUAGCUUAGUUAUAUUUUUAAAGCGUUUCGUUUCGAAAUUUAAUUUCUGUAGGCUCGUUAAGUGAAAAUAGUAAAUACGCGACUGCAGUUAAUAAUCGAUUCGAAAAAUUACAUAUAACGAAUAAGUGGUUAAAUUAAAAGCCUAAUUGAAUCGUUAUAUAAAAAUUGAGAAUUUAGAAAUAUCCUGAUUUACCUAAGAUAACUGCAAGAAUUUCGAGUGAGAGCUUGAAAAUUUUAUUCCUUAAAUUAAAAUUUCACACAUGAUCCACUUUCUUUUAUUUAUUAAAAUACAUGUUUAAUUAUUUCUUUACGUUAACAAAUAAACUAGUAAUACCUUGGAUUUGUAUCACCUACCCCAUUAAAUAUUAGUACUAGUUAGAAUUAUUGUUAUGAAAAUAAAUAAUAAAAUAAACAUGGAAAAACAUUCGUUUUGAAGCAUGUAGAUGCCUAACAUGUACAAAGAUUAAAUGUUGAUUUUCCAUGUUAGUUAGAAACCAAUAGAAAACUAUCUUUACCUUCUUAAACAAUUUUUUUUAUGCGAUAAAUAAUAUUAUGGAGCAACAAUAUUAAACCACUUGGUUUUCUUAAGAUAAAUGAAUAUUAAGAAUGUUAGAGUUAUAUAUUAAGGUCACCCUUGAUUUUAUUAGUUUAAUUAAUAAAGCAAGAAUGUUAAAUGUUAAUAGGAACCUUAGUAUUAAGGUGCAAUCGAUAAAUUUUAGACAAAAUCGUUACAAGUACACCAAGUAUACUUAGGACGUUAAAUCUCGAUAAUUGAAUUUUUUUUCGCGAGAUUAGUACACUAGUAGGCUAUCGAAUUUUAUUUGGAGUAAAAUCACGGAGUUAGUUUAUGAAUGAGAGUUUAAGUGGAAAUUCGAAUGAUUUGUGAAUAGACCAAAUUGGCCCUCAACCAUCUCGGAUUUACCAUGCAACCACCGAAGCUCCAUUGGCCAACCUUUAGAUCACCCAAUCCCAUUCUCUGCCGGAUGUCAUUUUCUUUGCUCCUCUCAACCACGCAACUUCUCCAUUUCAGCAAACCAUCCUCUCAAACACUCUAUCUCUCCACAACCGCACCUCAACUCACAACAACAACCCACUCCAUUCUUCACCUUGUGAAUAUCGAAGAGAGAAAAGAAAGGAAGUCAUGCGAUCAGAAAAUUGGUGCUGUCCGAGAGAGUAAGCUUCCAUCUUCAAUUCUGCCGUAAGCUAGAGUGAAAGGAGAGAGACCGUGCGUGAGCUGCUGCUGCACUCUCCACCUUCACUUUAACCAGCUGCAAUUCACCUCCACCAACCGUGACCCACUGCACCCAACCAAGAGCAGCUGCAACCAUCCAGUCCGUGUGCGAGCCGAGAGAAAGGGAGAAAAUUUGCAGCAGCUUGUCGUGUGAGUUGAGCCUCCAGCUGAGGUAAUUUUCGGUCUCAGAUUAGCUGAUAUUAGGUAGAGAAUGCUGAUUAUAAGCAUGCAUGUGAAGUUAGGCUCGGAUGAUGAGUUUAAGAAGAAAAGAAAAUCUGAAUUGCGUCGGCAACGGGUUUUGCCGAGAACUAAAACAGAAUUGCAGCGCUAAUCUUGUUUCUUGUAGUAAUCUCAGCUUAUAAAUAUAAUUAACUAACUAAGAACAAGAUGUUUAAGCUUUACAUGCAGCUCCUUGAUUCGGUUAAGCAAGAAGAAAUAAGAAUAAAAUGCAAUCUGUCCGCAUGCAAGUUCAUCCGAAGGUAGCAAACGGAAUUUCUGGAAUUUUUUUGGAUUAAUGUUACUGUUGUCCGAAUCUAAUUUCUGAACAAGAAAUGUUGAUUAGCUAAUUAAGUAUUUGCAUGUUAAUUCUGAGCACCUAAUACCAUGAAUUAACCGAAGGAAAAGUUGGGUUUAUGACCAAUUAGCUGCUGGAAAUUUUUGUGAAAGCCAAGGGAGUGAAACUGAAAUUUUGCAAUUGUUCUGGAAUUUUCUUUGGUAAAUGAUGGUUGGAAAAUUUUGAUGGUGGGCUCUAUGAACUCCCAAUCUUGGGUUGUUGUUGAUUUUGUGGUUAAUGAUAAUUAUAAUGCUAGUUUAGUGUUUAAAUAGAUAGAUUAAUGAUACCUAGCUAGUCUAGGCUCCAAGAGAUGCAUAGUUUAAAAAUGUCCAGUUUUGCCCUGUGUUAAUCGCACCUCUUUUUGUAGAAUUUUGAGAGUUUCAUGACUUGUAUAUUAUGUUUAUAUGUUAAAUAUGUGGUGUACAAAGUUUCAUUGAAAAAUAUUGAGUUUUGGUUGGUCAAAUAAAAUGAUUUCGCAAAGCUAGUAAAUCUGGAACUAUUUCAGUAAUACUUUGACCAGUUUUCGUAUUUCGGCUAUAAAUUUGUGCUCCGAUGUCGAAAUUAAGUACCGUCAGCGGCAUUUGAAACUAGACAUCCCAGCCUUUCCAACGGUAUAAAAUGUAUGUUCUGGUUCCAUGUGUGUGAGCCGAACCAACCAUUUAAAGUUGAAUACUCUGUUUCUCUGUUUUUACAAGAACGAAAUGCUGAGGCUGCAACUUGUGGCUCGAAUUCGAGCUAGUUGUAUGCCGAAUUUCAAAAUGACUUCUUCUGUGAAAGUAUAGCCCUACAAAUGUAUUUUCCAACGCCACCAACCAUGCUCAAUUCUGAGUUAAUUUGAGUGAUCUAUGAUCAAAAUAGGAAACCUGCUCUGUCCUUGAAAACCCUGAUUUUUAGACAGAUUUGACGCAAGGCUCGGUGUAGACUUGCAAAUUAAAUCUCUUGGUGUUAAUCACCACAAAUGUUGUUCUGGGAUGACCCUUAAACCUUUUCUAUGUAAAUGGACCAUGGUUGAGGUAACCUUUGGGUUGAACGUUUUGAAAACGGCAAAACGAAGCUCACAAGGCAAAUUGCCUUGGAAACUUUGAAACUUUGGUGAAUUAGUUCACCAACUUUCCGUGCAUAUUUUUCUACAAAAUUUGGUAGAGGGACAACCCUUAUAUGGUAGUAUUAUACUGCUAAUUAUGGUGUUAUUCUGAGGCCGUUUCAUGGGUCAAAUAAAUUACCAAAGUUCAUGACUCGAGUUUGGAAAACCCAUGUUUCACAAGGAAAUUUUGGUAACUUUGAGUUGCCAUAUCAUAGUACUCAAAACUCCAUUUCUCAUUCCGUUUGUUUUGUUAUACUCUUGGAUUACAACACUAAUAGAGUAUCAAAUUUAAAAGGCUAGUUCCAAACAAGUGAAUUUUGCCGAAUUUCCAAAGUUAGCCAAAAACCAACUUAAAUCUGCCUUAUGAACCAAAACAGUAACUUUGAGCCCAUUUUUGACUAUCUUCCAUUUAGAAUCAUGGAAAAGUACAUUCUAGGAACUUUUAGUACUUUCAAAGAGGUUUCCAAUAGUACCAAGUUUUCCAAUGUUGGGCUUGUAGAGAGUAAGAUAUGAUUUUUCAAAGAUUACUUGUUAAAUCUGGAAUUUUCUAACUUAAAGGAAACUAAGGGGUUUCGAACUCUUCAUUUCUUUCAAUAUCAUUUGAUUGUUUUACAUUUGAAUCCAGAGAUGGAAAUUAGAUUUGUCUUGUGUUUUAAAACCCCACUUUUGAACCUCGAGUUACAUGAAUUCUUAGGCUUGUCUCCGCGUUAAUUUCUUAGAUUGCACUAGCGUACAAUCUUCAUCGAAAACUAGAGAAUUCGCAGCGAUUUUGAGUAGUACUUGAAUUAUUGUUUGCUCAGGCAAUCGAGGAGAUCUCCAAGAGGAACUCGGAACGGACGCCUAAAACGUUUGUUUGAGACCUAUUGCGCUUGUUUGACUAGGUGAGUGUUCCAUAUAGGAAUACGUAAUUGAGUAAGUCUAGGACAUGCUCAUCUCAUGAUCGUUAAGUAUUUACCAUACUCGUGUCUAUUUAAGAAAUAUAUAUAUGCAUUGCAUAUCGACAUGAAUUGGUUAAAUGAUUAACCCUGUCAAAUAAUCUUGUAAACUCAAUAUGUGCUUAGCCUGCUUAUUUUAUGCUUAUUCGGUUAAAGUGCUCUUGUAACUCGUUAUGUGACAAUUUGGAAAAUGAGUUCCGAUCCAUCGAAGUGCGCAGUGUGUACUUUAUCACACUAGCCGUUCGAGUGGUGAAGUGUGUGAAAUAUUUUCUAAUGAAUCCGUGAAUCUAAAUGUAGUUUCGUCGUUGGGUGAAUCCCUCGACAUGUAAAUCAACUACCAUAACUAAUGAAUCUGUGAAUCUAAAUGUGGUUGCUUCGUUGGGGUGAGUCUCCUCGACUCUUACGUGGUAAAAGUGCAAAACGGCCAAUGGCGGCCUAUUAAAAUGACAUAUGUCUACCAAUUAACCGUAAUUACCACCGUUUACCGUUUACCGUUUACCGUUUACCGUUUAUCGUUUACCGUGUUUACUUACCGUUUUCUAAUAUAUGUGGUUACUGAUUUCUUGAUUAUCAUAAAUUAUAUGCUCAUAUGAAGUUAUCCAUCAUUGUUAGGCGAGUGUGUACUUUACCUCCCUCGACCUAUUCAAAUGAUGAAUUUUACUUUUGUCGAAUUACUUUGUUACCUGUGCAUGUUGUAAGCUAUAAGCUGAACUUGGGCCCCGCCUCGGUUACUGACCUACUCGAGCCAGGACUGGGCUCGGUCGGGUAGGUUGGAACCCUGGACAACCGUUUCGGUAUACUCGAGUAUUACCACUGGAGGGAUAAGGUGAUGGCCAGUCAACCGUGGGGAUCCGGGAGUUAUAAGGUGCAGAUGACCGACAAAGUUCCACUGGAACACCGUAUCCUUUCGUGCUUGCUUUACUAUUAAUAAUAUUAUUGCUCUCCUAGUUGGCAUUCUCGGGUAAGACUCCUCAUGAGCAUUAACCUCUGAGAUGAAGCAAUCCUUGUAAUGUCCUUCUAGUCGGACGAGCCACUAUUUGUUUGACUGAAAAUUUAUAUAUGGCCAUUCAUUCCAAAAGUACUAGUUCUACAUGUGUUUUCAAAGUAGCAAUUACCCUUGUAAUGAUUAUCACCUCAUGGUAACAUGCCAUUGUGUAAUCUAGAAUCAUGCAUACGAUAUGCAUAACUUACUUGACCUAUUUGAACUGUUAGAGCGUCUUGGAACCUCACUGGGCUGUGUAGCUCAUCCCAUGUUGUGGUUUUCUUUUACAGGUUCUGACAACUGAGGAAGACUUGAGAUCUACUUGUACUUUAAGCAUGUAGUUUGAAUUAAACAAUGUAGCUUUUGUUUUCGGGUUGCCACUUGAAGUUGGAAAGGUGUAAACCCUGGGUUUGUAUGUGGCUUGUACGAACGUAUUUGAAUUGUAUGUCUUGUUUCUUGGUUUGUAAUCAGGAAGGUAUUUUAAGAAUCGACGUU
rnacentral:lncRNA from 1 species